rnacentral:rRNA from 1 species
UCUGGCGACCUUAGCGCGGUGGUCCCACCUGACCCCAUGCCGAACUCAGAAGUGAAACGCCGUAGCGCCGAUGGUAGUGUGGGGUCUCCCCAUGCGAGAGUAGGGAACUGCCAGAC